UACGUAGGAUCCGAGCGUUGUCCGGAUUUAUUGGGCGUAAAGGGUGCGUAGGCGGCUUGUCAAGUCCUAUGUGAAAUCUCCCGGCUCAACUGGGAGGGGUCAUGGGAAACUGAUGAGCUCGAGGGCAGUAGAGGGAAGCGGAAUUCCGAGAGUAGUGGUGAAAUGCGUAGAUACUCGGAGGAACACCAGUGGCGAAAGCGGCUUCCUGGACUGUACCUGACGCUGAGGCACGAAAGCGUGGGGAGCAAACCGG
rnacentral:misc_RNA from 1 species